GUAGGAUAUGGUCAAGGGAACAAGAGGGGUACAAGAUAACAAGAGAAAGAGAAUAAACAACAAGACGAGACUCCAAUAUGAUGAUCCAUUAAUUCUCUCCAAUGACUAUAUGAAUGAACAAAUUGACGGCGGCAAACUAUAUAUGCUUGUUUCCAAGAGGAAGAAAGCACCUCUUAGUGCAAAAGAUGUGUGGAGAUACAGCAGAAUGCGCCAAGAGGACAUCUUCUCCAAACCUUUGAUCCAUAUGAGACUGGGAUUCCCUCGGAUGAGAGUACAUUGUGAUAAGAUGCAAGAGCAACAAAGAGGCAAGGAUGCUAUCAUUGAUCUCAAUUUGAGCCCAUCACAUUAGAUGCUAGAGCAGCAUAGAGUGCAAAAUGUUGUCAUUGAUCUCAAUUUGAGCCCAUCACAUCAGUUGCAAGUGCACGAGAGAGGCAAGGAUGUUGUCAUUGAUCUCAAUUUGAGCCCGUCACAACAGAUGCAAGUGUAGCACAGACUGAUUUGGACAUCAAGUUGUUGCAGCAACCUCCAAACAGUCCGGACCUAAAUGCUCUAGAUCUAGGCUUCUUUAGGUCUCUGGAGUCUCACACCGAUACAAGAGCACCAAACAAUAUUCGAGAGUUGAUAGAAGGUGUGGAGGAAGAAUAUAAUAACUACGAGGUCGACAAACUCUCUCGAACCUUCGUGACACUCCAAUCAUGUAUGAUUGGGGUGAUGGAAAAUGGAGGAGGGAUAGACUAUGAAAUCUCUCACAUGAAUAAGAACCGCCUCCAGGCAGAAGGUAGUCUAGGAAUCCCUCUAACUAUCUCGGCGGAGCUACUUGUAAAAACUAAAGACCUUAUCAAAGCAGCAGAGGUGCAAGCUAAGCAACAAUCAGCGUCCAUUCCUAAAAUUAGAUGAUGAAAUUGGGUUCUGUUCUUUAUGCGCCCUAAAAGCACAAAUGGAAGAAUCAAUUCAAAGCCCUGGGUCUGUUUUAGUGCCAGCAAGGUUCAAAAAUAAUUUAAGCAAAUUAUCUCCAGCUUUUAUACCAGGACAACAAGAGGAUGCACAUGAGUUAUUAAGUUGCUUGCUGGAAAAUUUGCAUAAGUGUACCCUUGAUGCCAAAUCAAUUCAUGGGGAAAGUAUUGUCGAGCAGGUGUUUGGAGGUAGACUGAAAAGCCUGGUAUGUACUGUACUUCUUAUUGCUUAGUUGUGUUCAAACUACUAUGGCUUAUUUGGAGUAAUACAAUUCUCUUCAUAUACUGUAGUUGACAUGCCAUGAUUGCGGUCACCGUUCGGAGACAUUUGAGCCCUUUCUUGAUAUCGACUUGGAGAUCGAUCAGGUUCAUGACCUUGUUGCUGCAUUGGAGUCUUUUACUAAGGUGGAACAAUUAGGUGAUGCUGAGAACAAGCUAAAGUGUGAAAGUUGUAAUGGCCAAGUGUAUAAGGACAAACAGCUUGUGCUUGAUACAACACCAGAUGUGGUAGCAUUCAUGGUUUGCGAGUCGACGAGUCGACCGGUCGUUCUGAGCCGGCGACUCGUAGACUAGUCUAGACUAGUCUCGACUCAGCAAGACUCAGGUUUAAUAAAAAUAUAUAAUUUCCAUGCUGCAACCUAUCCUCAAGAUCACACAUAAAUGCAUAUUUCCAUGCUGGAUCUUUGCUCCUCCUUGGCCUCCCGUUAGGAUCUUUGAAUGGAUCGUAGCCCUCGGCAGCCUUCGACUCA